UACGUAGGGUGCAAGCGUUGUCCGGAAUUAUUGGGCGUAAAGAGCUCGUAGGCGGCCUGUCGCGUCGGCUGUGAAAACCCGGGGCUCAACCCCGGGCCUGCAGUCGAUACGGGCAGGCUAGAGUCCGGCAGGGGAGACUGGAAUUCCCGGUGUAGCGGUGAAAUGCGCAGAUAUCAGGAGGAACACCGGUGGCGAAGGCGGGUCUCUGGGCCGGAACUGACGCUGAGGAGCGAAAGCGUGGGGAGCGAACAGG
rnacentral:rRNA from 1 species